GAUGAAGAACGUAGCGAAAUGCGAUAAGUAAUGUGAAUUGCAGAAUUCAGUGAAUCAUCGAAUCUUUGAACGCACCUUGCGCCCUUUGGACUUCUGAAGGGCAUGCCUGUUUGAGUAUCAUGAACACCUCAACUCCUUAUGGUCUUCCAUGAUGAGCUUGGACUUUGGGGGUUUUGCUGGCCUACAGUCAGCUCCUCUAAAAUAAAUCAGCUUACCGGUGUUUGGUGGGUAUCAUGGGUGUGAUAACUCUCUACGCUCGUGGUUUUCCACCAGGUAACCUUCAGCAGUGGAGGUUCACUGGUGCUCAUAGAUGUCUCUCCUCAGCGAGGACAGCCCUUUGAAUGUUUGAUCUCAAAUCAGGUAGGACUACCCGCUGAACUUAAGCAUAUCAAUAAGCGGAGGA
rnacentral:misc_RNA from 1 species